rnacentral:rRNA from 1 species
UACGUAGGGUGCGAGCGUUAAUCGGAAUUACUGGGCGUAAAGCGUGCGCAGGCGGUUCUGAAAGUCAGCUGUGAAAGCCCCGGGCUUAACCUGGGAAUUGCGGUUGAAACUACAGGGCUAGAAUCUGGCAGAGGGGGGUGGAAUUCCACGUGUAGCAGUGAAAUGCGUAGAGAUCUGGAGGAACACCGGUGGCGAAGGCGGCAUCCUGGACCAACACUGACACUGAUGAGCGAAAGCCAGGGGAGCAAACGGG